rnacentral:snRNA from 1 species
GCAGCAAGCUGUGUUGGUCGAGUU